UACGUAGGCAGCAAGCGUUGUUCGGAGUUACUGGGCGUAAAGGGUGCGCAGGUGGGUUGGCAAGUUUGAUGUGAAAGCCCCGGGCUUAACCCGGGAAUGGCAUUGAAUACUGCUGAUCUGGAGGAUCGGAGGGGGGACUGGAAUUCUUGGUGUAGCAGUGAAAUGCGUAGAUAUCAAGAGGAACACCAGUGGCGAAGGCGAGUCUCUGGGCCGAUACUGACGCUGAGGAGCGAAAGCGUGGGGAGCAAACAGG
rnacentral:rRNA from 1 species